rnacentral:rRNA from 1 species
GUGGGGAAUUUUGGACAAUGGGCGCAAGCCUGAUCCAGCAAUGCCGCGUGUGUGAAGAAGGCCUUCGGGUUGUAAAGCACUUUUGGCAGGAAAGAAAUAGUGCGUGCUAAUACCAUGCGCGAAUGACGGUACCUGCAGAAUAAGCACCGGCUAACUACGUGCCAGCAGCCGCGGUAAGACGUAGGGGGCAAGCGUUAAUCGGAAUUACUGGGCGUAAAGCGUGCGGAGGCGGUUUUGUAAGACAGGUGUGAAAUCCCCGGGGUCAACCUGGGAACUGCACUUGUGACUGCAAGGCUAGAGUGUGUCAGAGGGAGGUGGAAUUCCGCGUGUAGCAGUGAAAUGCGUAGAGAUGCGGAGGAACACCGAUGGCGAAGGCAGCCUCCUGGGAUAACACUGACGCUCAGGCACGAAAGCGUGGGGAGCAAACAGGAUUAGAUACCCGAGUAGUCC